UACGUAGGUGGCAAGCGUUGUCCGGAUUUACUGGGCGUAAAGAGCGCGCAGGCGGUCGUUCAAGUCGCGUGUGAAAGCCCCCGGCUCAACUGGGGAGGGUCACGCGAUACUGAUCGACUCGAAGGCAGGAGAGGGUAGUGGAAUUCCCGGUGUAGUGGUGAAAUGCGUAGAUAUCGGGAGGAACACCAGUGGCGAAGGCGACUACCUGGCCUGUUCUUGACGCUGAGGCGCGAAAGCCAGGGGAGCAAACAGG
rnacentral:rRNA from 1 species